CCUACGGGAGGCUGCAGUGAGGAAUAUUGGUCAAUGGGCGAGAGCCUGAACCAGCCAAGUCGCGUGAGGGAGUACUGCCCUAUGGGUUGUAAACCUCUUUUGUCGGGGAGCAAAAGCCGGACGUGUCCGGCUGUGAGAGUACCCGAAGAAAACGCAUCGGCUAACGCUGUGCCAGCAGCCGCGGUAAUACGUGGGAUGCGAGGGUUAUCCGGAUUUAUUGGGUGUAAAGGGUGCGCAGGCGGAUUUUUAAGUCAGCGGUCAAAGCGUGGGGCUCAACCCCAUCCAGCCGUUGAAACUGGGGGUCUAGAGUGUGGGAGAGGUAUGCGGAAUGCGUGGUGUAGCGGUGAAAUGCAUAGAUAUCACGCAGAACCCCGAUUGCGAAGGCAGCAUACCGGUGCACAACUGACGCUCAGGCACGAAAGCGUGGGUAUCGAACAGGAUUAGAUACCCUGGUAGUC
rnacentral:rRNA from 1 species